rfam:Gossypium raimondii chromosome 5, whole genome shotgun sequence.
GGACUUAAUUGGAUUGAGCCUUAGUAUGGAAACCUACUAAGUGAUAACUUUCAAAUUCAGAGAAACCCUGGAAUGAAAAAUGGGGGCAAUCUUGAGCCAAAUCCUAUUAUUUUAUUAUUUUACGAAAAUAAACAUGAGCAAAGGUUUAGCAAGCGAGAAUAAUAAAAAAAUGAAAAGAUAGGUGCAGAGACUCAAUGGAAGCU